CUGGAAGUGAUGUAUAAAAAUGUCUGAGUACCCAUGAAGGUUUUUGUAUUCAUACUGUCUGAUCCAG
rnacentral:snoRNA from 1 species